AGAGUUUGAUCAUGGCUCAGAACGAACGCUGGCGGCGUGGAUAAGACAUGCAAGUCGAGCGCUGAUUACAGGGUAGCAAUAUUCUGUGGUCGGAGCGGCGCAAGGGUGCGUAACACGUGGGUAAUCUGCCAUGAAGUUUGGGAUAGCUCGGCGAAAGCCGGAUUAAUACCGCAUGUGAUGAGGGGAGACAUCUCUCUGAAAUCAAAGCCGGGGCAACCUGGCGCUUUUUGAGGAGCCCGCGGCCUAUCAGCUAGUUGGUGAGGUAACGGCUCACCAAGGCGAUGACGGGUAGCUGGUCUGAGAGGACGACCAGCCACACUGGAACUGAGACACGGUCCAGACACCUACGGGUGGCAGCAGUCGAGAAUUUUUCUCAAUGGGGGAAACCCUGAAGGAGCGACGCCGCGUGGAGGAUGAAGGCUUUCGGGUUGUAAACUCCUGUCAUUUGGGAACAAGGCUGUGCGAUUAACUGUCGCGUAGUUGAUAGUACCAGAAGAGGAAGAGACGGCUAACUCUGUGCCAGCAGCCGCGGUAAUACAGAGGUCUCGAGCGUUGUUCGGAUUCAUUGGGCGUAAAGGGUGCGUAGGUGGCGCUGUAAGUCGGGUGUGAAAUCCUGGGGCUUAACCCCGGAACUGCAUUCGAUACUGCAGUGCUUGAGGACUGGAGAGGAGACUGGAAUUCAUGGUGUAGCAGUGAAAUGCGUAGAGAUCAUGAGGAAGACCAGUGGCGAAGGCGGGUCUCUGGACAGUUCCUGACACUGAGGCACGAAGGCCAGGGGAGCAAACGGGAUUAGAUACCCUAGUAGUCC
rnacentral:rRNA from 1 species